ensembl:lncRNA
UUUUUUGGUUUAUUUUCAUGUUUUUUUAUGUUUAAGUUAGUUUGAUUACAUUAAGUUACAUAUUUACGGAUAAAAUUAUCAUUAGUAAUUAUUACUCAUUUUGUUAUUAAAAAAAAAAAUGUUAUAUAUAUGAUUCUUUUUUACAAUGCCGAAUUAAUAAUAAAAAAAAAAAAAAAAAAAAAAAAAAAGGAAGCAUUAAGAAAGUAAUAUAGUGAUAAAGUUAUAACGUACGGAAGUAAUAAAGUGGUAAAGGGAUAAAGUACGGAAGUAACGAAGUAAUAAAAAAAAAAAUUAAAAUGGAAUUACCAACAUUUGGUGAUGAAAAUAGUACUGAUUUAAAAAAGAAUGAACACGUAACUUGUACAAAUGAAAACGCAACUUGCAUAAAUGAAAACGCAACUUGCACAAGUGAAAGCCAAUAUGAGAAUGACUAUAUUCAGAAUAAUAUUUAUAAUGAUAUAAAAAAAAUUAAGAAUAAACAAAUAAGAGAUUUUCAAAAAAAUGCAGACACUGCUAUUCCAAUGAAUCAAGAGAAUUUGUUAUUAAAAAUUUUACAAAAGAAUAAAAUAUAUUCAUUGGUAGGUGGAGUUGAGAAUGGAAAGAGCGAUACAAACAUGUUACUGCAUAAUGGUGAAGAAGCACUUAUUGGCAACAAAGAAAACGGAUUCCAAUUAAAACAAUUAAAAAAUAAGAAUGGACAUAUAAAUUUAUUAAAAUAUCCGUUUGAAAAAGAGUUUCAAAAGGAUAAGUCAAGUAAACAAAUAGGAAAUGAAAAAAAGUCGAUAAAAACUUAUUUUGAAUUAUAUAAUAUUAGAAAAUAUAAAAACAUCGAUAAACAUAAUGAUAGUAAUAAGUUAAUUAGCUUUUAUAAUGAUCCAUAUACUAACAAUUAUUUAAAAAAGCAAAAAAUGAAAGUCCGAAAAAAUUCCGACAUUUUUAAAUAUGUUAAUAAUAAUAAAAAUGAAAAAAUGUAUAUAACACAUAACAAAAUAAAAAAAAAUAAGGAUGGUGAUAGUGAUGGUGAUAGUGAUGGUGAUAGUGGUGAUAGUGGUGAUAGUGGUGAUAGUGGUGAUAGUGNNNNNNNNNNUGGUGAUAGUGGUGAUAGUGGUGAUAGUGGUGAUAGUGGUGAUAGUGGUGAGGAUAACAAAAUAGAUUUUCAAUAUAAGCUACUAAAUAAUGAUGAUGUUGAGCAUAAUAUUUUAAACGAAGAAUUAAAAGGCUUUUCAAGUAGUUAUUUAUUACAACGGUGUAAUAAUAACUUAGAAGGAAAUUAUUUAAAUAUUCAUAAUACUGACUUAAUUGAAAUCCAUGAUAUAUUUGAUGAAAAUAAAAUUAAUCGUACUAAAAAUAAAAAUUUUUUCUUUUAUACAAAUAUAAAUAAGAAAAAAUUAAAACAACAAAAAAAGGGAAAUUGUUCUAUAAAAGGUAUAAAAAAUGAAGCACACAAAAAAUGUCAAAAUUCUUAUGAGAAAAAUCAUGUUCAUCAAAAUAAGCUUUAUAAUGAUAAUGUAAAUUCUAACGAAAUAGAAAAAAAAAAAAAAAAAUUAUUUUUUUUGGAUGAUAACAUGCAAGAUAGUGAUAACAUGCAAGAUGGUGAUAACAUGCAAGAUGGUGAUAACAUACAAUACAGUGAUAACAUACAAUACAGUGAUAACAUACAAUACAGUGAUAACAUNNNNNNNNNNAGUGAUAACAUACAAUACAGUGAUAACAUACAAUACAGUGAUAACAUGCAAUACAGUGAUAACAUGCAAGACGGUGAUAACAUGCAAGACAAUGAGGAACAAAUGAUUGACCUAGAGUAUACGAGCAUGGACGAUAAUGAAUAUAAAAAUGAUGAAAUGAUUAUGCCAAUUUUCAACGGGGAUAUUGAACGAAAAGUAAAAUUUAAAAAUAAAAAAAUUCUGAAAGAGGAAAAUACUGAUGAUAGUGAAAUAAAUAAAGAAGAAAUUGAUUGGGGAGUGGGUUCUAACUCUGCCAAUGAUUCUUUUUUGAAAGAAAAUGGAAAAACGAAGAUAUACAAUGAAUUGAAUGAUGAUUAUAUAGGUAUGGACGUGAAUAAAGAAUUUGACUCCAUUGAUGAAAAUUUAAAUGAAAAUAGUUAUAGUAUAGAAAAGAUGAAAUUUAAAAAUGGAAAAGAAGAAUUGAAAAAAUUAAAUAAUAACGUAGAAAGUAAUAUAAAUCUUAUAGAUGAUAAUACAAAGGAACAAUAUGAUAGUUUUUUUUCAGACAUAAUAUUUAAUAAUAAAACUGCUGAAAAUGUGAGUGAUACUUUUAGUGUAAAAGAAGAAUAUAAUAAAAAAAAUGAAAGUUUAUUAUUAAAUAAUGAUGAUAAUAUAAACAUGUUUGAUAAAACAAAUGAAAAUACUAAUUUGGACGAUGAGUUUUGGGGAGAUAUACUUGAUGAUAACGCUGACGUUAACAGUAUAAAUAGUAUAGGAGAUAAAAGUAUUACUCACACUAAUAACCACGACUACAACAUGAACAAUGUACAUAUCGAUGAAAGUAGUAAUUUCGACGAUUUGAACGAAAACAUAUUUAAUCUAAAUGAAAUAAGUGAAAAUAAAAAUAACUGUUUAAAUCAAUAUGCUGAUGAAAAUAAAAAUAAUAGUGAGAAAGCUAUAGAAGAAAAUAAUUCUUUAAGCUUUGAAAAAUUAAGCGACAUAUUUGGUGAAUUUUUUAAUGCUGAUAAUGAUGGUAUCAAUGAAAACGGCAGUGACAAUGAAAACGGUAAUGGCAAUGAAAACGGUAAUGGCAAUGAAAACGGUAAUGACAAUGAAAACGGUAAUGACAAUGAAAACGGUAAUGGUAAUGAAAACAGUAAUGACAACAACAGCAAUAGUGAUGAUGUGGUUGAUAGUACUAAAUUAGGAAGUCUUGGUAAGGACGAUAUAGAUGACAUAUAUAACGAUAAACAAAAAUUAAACUUAUUGACUGGAUUGAUAAUGAGUGAUGAUAAAAUAAAAAAAUCAAAUUCUUUAUUAUUUGAUUAUAUUGAAGAGAAAGAAAAAAAUAAUGUAGAUGCUGAAAAAACGGAUAUCUCCAUUAUUAAUAAUGAAAAUUGUACCAAUUUAAACGAUGUACGCGAAAUAAUAAAAGAUGCUGACACAAGUAAAGUAAAAAAUGAUUUUUUAAACAAUAUGAUGAUGUAUACUUAUGGGAAUGAUGAUAGUUGUAAAACAGUUGGUUAUUAUAAUAAUGAAGCUGAAAUAAGCUUAAAAAAAGAAACUGAUAAAAAUAAAUUUGACAUUUUUAAAAAUAUUUAUGAAAAUUAUUACAAUACAAAUGGUAAUAUAAAUGGUAAUGUAAAUGAGAGCACAUAUAUGAGUAACACCAAUAAGUAUAACGAAUUGUACUUAUUCGGAAAUAAUAUCAUAAAUAACUCAUAUUUAUUUAUGUUACUAAAUUAUAAACAUAUACGAUAUUAUAACUAUGAUAAUGCAUUGUAUACUUUAAACAGUGAAGAUUAUUCAAAAUAUGUUUUUAAAAAUAAUAACCCAGAAAAAAAUAUUUUACAUGAUGAAACAAUUAUUAAUGAAAUUUUUGGAAUUAAUGAUAAACCUACUAAUUAUAAUAGGGAAAUUGAUGGAACUAAAAACUGGUUAGAAAAAAAAAAAAAAAAAAAAAAAAAAAAAAAAAAUUUGAGUUUGAAAAGGGAAUAAAAAUAGGAAGAAAAUCAAAUUUGAAUGGAGAAAAUGAAUCACGGAACGAUAGUGAAGAAGAAUAUGGGUACUACAAAAAAUCAAAGUUGAAAGGAAAAUCUAUGAAUAUGGACAAACUAGUAAAUGAUGAUGAUGAUGAAAUAAUUAAGGGAGAUAAAAAAAAAAAGAAAAAAAAAAAAAAAAAAUUGAACAAAAUGGCUAAUGAUAAUAGAGAAACACAAUACAAAAAUGAAUUUUUAAAAAAGCAAAAGAAAACAAAAAACAAAAAAAACGACACUGUUGAUGAUGAUAACUUUAUGAGUGAUGAUGAAAUGAAGAAAACGACAAAAAAAAUAAACAAAAUGGGUUGUUAUGAAGGUGGUAAAAG